GGACCUCCUGCAGCAGUUAGCAAAGUUAUCAAUCAUUCUGUAUUUUUGCGCUAUAUGCGCGGAAUCUAUACCGAGAGGGAACCGUCCUUUUGGAUACGCUCCCACAAAAGUGAUUCUGGACGAACGGUGUUACGAGGUUUCAUCCAGAAGAUAGCUCCGUAGUAUGCUUAGGCGUGAGACAUGACGGCGGUCACCUUGAUCCACGUAGAGAAUUCGUGAGGUCUCAAAGGACGGCUGAUAUUAUAAAUGCAGUGUUUUCCAUGACUGUUUGCGAGACUAGAUGGGGAUCGACGCUUAACCGAAAAAUUGGGUUCUGCACUUCAUUCGUUACUCAGGGCAACCAGACAAGCCAAGCGGCGCUACUCCCAGCCAUGCACUCACCUCGGUUCACAGCACACCGCUCUAUACCGGAGGGAAGGCUGCCAUUAAGAUAUAAACGCACAGUAUAGCUCUGCCACAGAGACAGAAGACAUUUCCAGCAGCUGAAGACAAGGGGUGCGUAUCUCGUGGUAGUGUGUGGCUUUUAAAAGGGAGGUUCCUUCUAUCACUGUGUGAGAGAAAUCAUGCGAAACUGAUGAGCGGGCGGUUUCUUGGCUGAGCCUCACCACAGAAAGCCAGCAAAGGUUUCUGGCAGCAUCUGUGACAUACUGCGUCUAUGAUAUAUAUCAUGUCGUGGAGGGCUCUCAGUGACGCUACAACAUCACGCUUCCUGUAUACCCCAGAUCACAUAAAUUAUGUUACUCUCCAUUUUGCUCCUGUGGAGCUGCAAGCCUCACAGGUCAACUGUUUCUCACUCAGUAUUCCUUCGCAACCAGACUUCCGUGACCGUCGGGAUCCAAGGAUCCGCACCGCUCGGGAGUUGCGAGGUAAGAUUCCCGUUUCGAUGUGCGUAAGUGUAUGAAAUAUGUUGGAAAAUUUGGUAUUUUUGGAAAGCCAACAUUUCUGUACAGGCUGUACAGAUCUAGUGCGUUGUCCGAUCUUCACAGCUUCUAUUUUCGGUAACUAAGGACACAGUCAGGAUGGAUUAGUGAGCCGAUAGUUUCAUUUCCAUGCAGAAAUAAAUUGACAUUCACUGCAGAAUAUAAAAUUCUUGCCUGUGCAAAGAAUAAUCCAAUUAAAUCUGAUAUUCGUACGCAGCCGUCAUUAAGACCAUAACGAGCACAGAUGUCCCUGUUUGUGCGGUUUGUUGUGUAUCUUGGAUGACUGUAUACUACGGACGACAGCUUUAUGCGAUCAGCGAUGUAACUGUGUAGUGGUCAUUUGGACUGCACCUGUUUUAUGAAACAGAGAUCUCGGGAUGAGAGACAGUCUUGAGUCCAGGAAGGAUCACUGAGGACGCCAUGGAAGUAAACUCAGCAACGUCAGCCAACGGUAACAUACCACAUGAAGAAACGGCUACCCAUUACGUUGCCACAUGACUGUGUAUAUGCGACGCUGCCGAAGAAGUAGAAUGCUCCAUGCUUCUCAGGAUAUGUCGAAAAAUCGAACCUGCGCGAGCUGGAUUGAUUGCAACGCCUAUCGGGACACGUACUGCUUCCUGAAGCGUCUGCGGUGCAACCUGUCACAAAAAUUCGUUGAUAAGUUCAAUACCCUUCGUUCUGGUAACUGGGGGACUUUCCUUGUCAACGGCAUCAGCUAGUGUGCGGUUAUUAAUCAUUCAUCAUACUGGCUUUUGUUGUUUUUUUGUGCGGUGUAUGCCGUUGAUUGAAAAGUGCCAUUUCUAGCGUGCUUUGCCCAAAUGAUGGGAUCUGGACAUCGCUGCGGAUCAAAAGACCAUACGACGCACUGGUCAUGUUGCGUGAAAGAAGCUACUCUCUGUUUUACAUACCCCUCCCUACUAGCCUUGCCCUGCCAAUCACUGAUGUCACCCAUGGUUUCGCUUUUUUCUGUUUUACCAACGAGGUAUCGAGCGGCAGUUCUACGCUUCCUGCAAACACACGCAGUUCAGAACUAUCCAGAUAGUGUUUUACUGCCUGAAAAAUUAGACCUCAAUGAACAAGUGUAGUACAUCACAACGUG
rnacentral:lncRNA from 1 species